UUUGGCGUUAGGUUUACGAUUCGCAAUCGCAUUACCGACCGCGUGCAAUAAGUGUGUUUUACCUAAGCCCGUACCACCAUA
rnacentral:antisense_RNA from 1 species